GAUGAAGAACGUAGCGAAAUGCGAUAAGUAAUGUGAAUUGCAGAAUUCAGUGAAUCAUCGAAUCUUUGAACGCACAUUGCGCCCAUUAGUAUUCUAGUGGGCAUGCCUGUUCGAGCGUCAUUUCAACCCUUAAGCCUAGCUUAGUAUUGGGAAUCGACUUUACUGUCGUUCCUCAAAUUCAACGGCGGAUUUAUAGCAAUCUCUGAACGUAGUAAUUUUUUUUCUCGUUUUUGAAAUACUAUAAACCUCAGCCGCUAAACCCCCAAUUUCUUAUGGUUGACCUUGGAUCAGGUAGGAAUACCCGCUGAACUUAAGCAUAUCAAUAAGCGGAGGA
rnacentral:misc_RNA from 1 species